AGAGAGAGACAUGCGCGCAUAUCAAUAAGCGGAGGAAAAGAAACUAACAAGGAUUCCCCUAGUAACGGCGAGUGAAGCGGGAAGAGCUCAAAGUUUGAAAUCUUCAAGGGUUCUACCUUUACGAAUUGUAGUUUAAAGAAGUGUUUUCUGUUGAGGUUUUGGUAAAAGUUCUUUGGAAUAGGACAUCAUAGAGGGUGAGAAUCCCGUAUUUGACCAUUACUUUCAACUGUGUGAUACACUUUCAAAGAGUCGGAUUGUUUGGGAAUGCAGUCCAAAAUGGGUGGUAAAUUUCAUCUAAAGCUAAAUAUUGGCGAGAGACCGAUAGCGAACAAGUACCGUGAGGGAAAGACUGAAAAGAACUUUGAAAAGAGAGUUAAACAGUACGUGAAAUUGUCAAAAGGGAAGCGUUUGACACCAGUGUUGUUUUCUCGAAAAUCAAUUAAAGAAGCAUGAUUUAUGCUAAGUUGUAUUAGACUUUAUCAGCUAUUCUGCCUCUUAGUUCUUGAGCUUUUCUUUAAUGCACUUUUCAGUUAACAAGUCAACAUCAAUUUCUUUUGUUGUAAAAAGGGUCAUUGGAAGGUGGCUUGCGAUUUCGUAUAAGUGUUUAUAGCCUCUUGCCUCCUGCAGUCGGAGAGAUUGAGGUCUGCAGCGUAGAUCCUUCGGGGUUAAAUAGCAUUUGUGCUAAGUUAUAGCCUUUUCAUAGACAACUUGUUGACUAUGAUCUGUCAUGUAGCUUACUCGCUUAUGCUAUUUUACCUACGCUUAGGAUGUUGAUGUGAUACUGCGAGCA
rnacentral:rRNA from 1 species